CAGAGGCGGCGUGGAGAGCGCUGGGAGCGGGUGCGGCGUGCGGGGAGCUGAGGUAUAGUUGUGACUUCUGCCCUGCCAGGCCGCGCACGAGCUGGCUGACCCGGUUUGUAAAAAUGGAAUUUCAAGCAGUAGUGAUGGCAGUAGGUGGAGGAUCUCGGAUGACAGACCUAACUUCCAGCAUUCCCAAACCUCUGCUUCCAGUUGGGAACAAACCUUUAAUUUGGUACCCAUUGAACCUGCUUGAGCGUGUUGGAUUUGAAGAAGUCAUUGUGGUUACAACCAGGGAUGUUCAAAAGGCUCUAUGUGCAGAAUUCAAGAUGAAAAUGAAGCCAGAUAUUGUGUGUAUUCCUGAUGAUGCUGACAUGGGAACUGCAGAUUCUUUGCGCUACAUAUAUCCAAAACUUAAGACAGAUGUGCUGGUGCUGAGCUGUGAUCUGAUAACAGACGUUGCCUUACAUGAGGUUGUGGACCUGUUUAGAGCUUAUGAUGCAUCACUUGCUAUGUUGAUGAGAAAAGGCCAAGAUAGCAUAGAACCUGUUCCCGGUCAAAAGGGGAAAAAAAAAGCAGAUGGAGACUCGCUCUGUUGCCAGGCUGGAGUGCAGUGGCACCAUCUCGGUUCACUCCAAUCUCCACCUCCCGGGUUCAAGCACUUCACCUGCCUCAGCCUACCGAGUAGCUGGGACUACAUGCACAUGCCACCACACC
rnacentral:sRNA from 1 species